CAGAUCACUGGGUUUAGUUUUACAUGUUAUUUAAUGACCAACCAGUAGCCUAAUGUUAUACAGACAUAUCUGUUGUUGAUAGUAAAUAUAUUCGCUUACAUAACAGGAACUGCUGUUUGUUCUGCGGUGGGUGUGUAUGGUCUGCACCAACACUGCUGCGUAGAAUAUGUCAAAGUAAAAUUUUAUUAACCAUCUUUAACCCGUCAACAUGUUUAAAACCUCUAAAGGCAGCAUAGUGUGCUUUUAAGCUACAUCACAGGUUUUAAAGUAACAAUAGCACAGGAGCCCAGACGUUUUUCUUCCCCUGGUAUUUUGCUGCCCUCUAGUGACUCAUACAAAAUAGGGCGGCCACUUAGGAAACCGAGAAACUUUUCUGUUUAGUCAUUUGUGAAAUUUUUAUACGUAGAUCACACUGGACCAGAAUGUAAAUAAAAAGGGGGACCUGUAUUUAUUUGAACCUUCCAAAUACUAUAUCACUAAAUAGAUAAGCUGUAGCCUAAUAUCUUGGAAAUACAGUAUCUAACCAGAUUCUUGAUAUGGAUGCCAUUGCCCUAACCUCCAGUAAUACUAUGAGGAAAUCGUUUUUAACCAGGUUAUGUCCUUCAGUUAAAAAAUAUGCAGGAAUUUUUUUGUGUGUGUCUGGUUUUUCGUCCCCUUGUCUCACUAGCUCUGAUUUCUCCCAGCUACGUUUCUUCAGCAUCUCUCUCGUGUGUCAUUCCCUCCGUGUCUCUGUGUGUCAGUGGGUUCAGGUUAGUUUUGUGUUCCACGCAUUUGUAGUGUAUUUUAUCAGUCAAAAUAAAGGCCUGUUUUCUGUUAAAUCAUUCUCCUGCGUCCAUGUCUGCGUUUGAGUCCACUCCUCCCUCUCUGCACGAUUUGCCCCUGCAAAUUGUGACAUUAUUAACCUCUUGCUCUCUUUGACAGUGUGUCUUUUGACCUGUUUUUAUCCCCUUACCCUCAACUAGUCAUGGCAGAUGGCCGCCUCUCCCUGAGCCUUCUUAAUGUUAAAAGGGAGUUUUUUCUUCCCACUGUUGCCAAGUUUUUGUUUACAAAGGUUCAUCUGAUUGUUAAGGUUUUUCCUGCAUUAUGGUAAGAUUUUUAUAUUACAAUAUGAAAUAUCUCGAGGUGACUGUUGUUGUGAUUUGGCACUAUAUAAAUAAAAUGGAAUUCAACUGAAUAUGGACCACUUUAAAUACUUCCACCUAAACUGGAAAAGUGCUGCUUUCAUAAUAAAAUUUAGCCAAUGUGAAUGGAAAAUUGACAAAAAGGAGGAGGUUGUUAAUGCAAAAAAAGUCCAUGCGUACCCACAUCAAGCAUGCCAAGUGAAUGUUUCUUUUUCUUUAAGGGUGGGAAGGUAAUUUGUAAAAACAUUAAUUCACACUGCAGUCCACCGUUAACUAAGUAACUAAAGCUCACUGCAGCCUACACUAAAGUAAUCAACAUUCAGAUUGAGCAUCUGAACAAACAGGCAAUAUGGUGAAAAUAGUAUUAGUGAAAUUAAUGAUAGUCUGAUAUAUUGUACAGCUUCGUUUAGAAUUAUGCAAGUCUUUCCUGUGUUGUUUCAUGUUAUCGCCUUAUUAAAAUGUGACAUUACAAAAACUGUCCAUUGGGUGUUGCUGUGGUGAUAGAUGCUAGAUUGUUUUGAAACAUUGUUAAGACUAAUAACACUGCUUAGUCUGAGAGUGAGAGAGGGACAUACUCUGUUAAAAAAUGAGUGAAGAAGGAAGCAAACAGUGGGGACGGACGGGUUUAGCUGAUAUCACAGAAAAAAAAAAUCUGAUUACUGAAAAGGAAAAUGAAGAACACAUUUGUGCAAUGCCUGCUCUUUCUGAUCACUCUGCUGUGUUGCACAACAAAUCAAGCUCGUCUGACUGUGAGUCCCAGCAGCUCUCAGUUCUUUAAAGGAGACUUUGUGACUCUGAGCUGUGAGGAGGACGACAGCUCUGCUGGAUGGACUCUGAGGAGAAACACAAGCAAACAACAGAGGACUCAGUGUGGAAGAGAUGGGUGGGGAAAACCAGCUGGCUCUUCCUGUAACAUCAGUCACAUCUACAAAUGGGAGACUGGAGUUUACUGGUGUGAGUCCAGAGAGGGUCCCAUCAGUAACAUGGUUAACCUGACAGUCACUGGUGGAUCAGUGAUCCUGCAGAGUCCUGUCCUCCCUGUGAUGGAGGGAGAUGACGUCACUC